rnacentral:rRNA from 1 species
GGUAGUCCACGCCGUAAACGAUGUCGACUUGGAGGUUGUGCCCUUGAGGCGUGGCUUCCGGAGCUAACGCGUUAAGUCGACCGCCUGGGGAGUACGGCCGCAAGGUUAAAACUCAAAUGAAUUGACGGGGGCCCGCACAAGCGGUGGAGCAUGUGGUUUAAUUCGAUGCAACGCGAAGAACCUUACCUACUCUUGACAUCCAGAGAACUUAGCAGAGAUGCUUUGGUGCCUUCGGGAACUCUGAGACAGGUGCUGCAUGGCUGUCGUCAGCUCGUGUUGUGAAAUGUUGGGUUAAGUCCCGCAACGAGCGCAACCCUUAUCCUUUGUUGCCAGCGGUUAGGCCGGGAACUCAAAGGAGACUGCCAGUGAUAAACUGGAGGAAGGUGGGGAUGACGUCAAGUCAUCAUGGCCCUUACGAGUAGGGCUACACACGUGCUACAAUGGCGCAUACAAAGAGAGGCGACCUCGCGAGAGCAAGCGGACCUCAUAAAGUGCGUCGUAGUCCGGAUUGGAGUCUGCAACUCGACUCCAUGAAGUCGGAAUCGCUAGUAAUCGUAGAUCAGAAUGCUACGGUGAAUACGUUCCCGGGCCUUGUACACACCGCCCGUCACACCAUGGGAGUGGGUUGCAAAAGAAGUAGGUAGCUUAACCUUCGGGAGGGCGCUUACCACUUUGUGAUUCAUGACUGGGGUGAAGUCGUAACAAGGUAACCGUAGGGGAACCUGC